UUUUUCAUCUCUUUAAUUGGUGUUGACAGUGUAAACUAUUCGUAUAUGUGUAUGAAUUGUACAUGACAUCAUGAGCAUAAAAUUAUGAACCCAUUUAAAACUGUCAUUGGUGUUGACACUUUAAUGUACCAUACACAUUUAUACAUGGCAUUGUAUUUUUUUUUGCUAAAUUCUAACUUAAGUAGUUUGGCUAUACCAUUAAUUUGCAUGCAAAAAUGUUUAUCUGGUGCCUCAUUUAGUGGCCUUCAGUUUUAAAACUAUUGCUACCUAGUCAUGUGGUAUGUGACCUGGACUGCCAUCCAAUGU